rnacentral:rRNA from 1 species
AUCAUUUAAAGAAAGCGUAAUAGCUCACUGGUCGAGUCGGCCUGCGCGGAAGAUGUAACGGGGCUAAACCAUGCACCGAAGCUGCGGCAGCGAACGUAUCACCCAAGACAACUUUACGGAGUUGACGAUUGACGGAGCGAAGCGACGUCAAAGCGUUCAUUAAAGUCGAGUUGGCUUAGGGAUACGUUCGUUGGGUAGGGGAGCGUUCUGUAAGCCUGUGAAGGUGUGUCGUGAGGCAUGCUGGAGGUAUCAGAAGUGCGAAUGCUGACAUAAGUAACGAUAAAGCGGGUGAAAAGCCCGCUCGCCGGAAGACCAAGGGUUCCUGUCCAACGUUAAUCGGGGCAGGGUGAGUCGACCCCUAAGGCGAGGCCGAAAGGCGUAGUCGAUGGGAAACGGGUUAAUAUUCCCGUACUUGGUGUUACUGCGAAGGGGGGACGGAGAAGGCUAUGUUGGCCGGGCGACGGUUGUCCCGGUUUAAGCGUGUAGGUGUGUGUUCCAGGUAAAUCCGGUUCACUUUAACACUGAGGCGUGACGACGAGGCACUACGGUGCUGAAGCAACAAAUGCCCUGCUUCCAGGAAAAGCCUCUAAGCAUCAGGUAACACGAAAUCGUACCCCAAACCGACACAGGUGGUCAGGUAGAGAAUACCAAGGCGCUUGAGAGAACUCGGGUGAAGGAACUAGGCAAAAUGGUGCCGUAACUUCGGGAGAAGGCACGCUGACACGUAGGUGAAGUGAUUUACUCAUGGAGCUGAAGUCAGUCGAAGAUACCAGCUGGCUGCAACUGUUUAUUAAAAACACAGCACUGUGCAAACACGAAAGUGGACGUAUACGGUGUGACGCCUGCCCGGUGCCGGAAGGUUAAUUGAUGGGGUCAGCGCAAGCGAAGCUCCUGAUCGAAGCCCCGGUAAACGGCGGCCGUAACUAUAACGGUCCUAAGGUAGCGAAAUUCCUUGUCGGGUAAGUUCCGACCUGCACGAAUGGCGUAAUGAUGGCCAGGCUGUCUCCACCCGAGACUCAGUGAAAUUGAACUCGCUGUGAAGAUGCAGUGUACCCGCGGCAAGACGGAAAGACCCCGUGAACCUUUACUAUAGCUUGACACUGAACAUUGAGCCUUGAUGUGUAGGAUAGGUGGGAGGCUUUGAAGUGUGGACGCCAGUCUGCAUGGAGCCGACCUUGAAAUACCACCCUUUAAUGUUUGAUGUUCUAACGUGGACCCGUAAUCCGGGUUGCGGACAGUGUCUGGUGGGUAGUUUGACUGGGGCGGUCUCCUCCUAAAGAGUAACGGAGGAGCACGAAGGUUGGCUAAUCCUGGUCGGACAUCAGGAGGUUAGUGCAAUGGCAUAAGCCAGCUUGACUGCGAGCGUGACGGCGCGAGCAGGUGCGAAAGCAGGUCAUAGUGAUCCGGUGGUUCUGAAUGGAAGGGCCAUCGCUCAACGGAUAAAAGGUACUCCGGGGAUAACAGGCUGAUACCGCCCAAGAGUUCAUAUCGACGGCGGUGUUUGGCACCUCGAUGUCGGCUCAUCACAUCCUGGGGCUGAAGUAGGUCCCAAGGGUAUGGCUGUUCGCCAUUUAAAGUGGUACGCGAGCUGGGUUUAGAACGUCGUGAGACAGUUCGGUCCCUAUCUGCCGUGGGCGCUGGAGAACUGAGGGGGGCUGCUCCUAGUACGAGAGGACCGGAGUGGACGCAUCACUGGUGUUCGGGUUGUCAUGCCAAUGGCACUGCCCGGUAGCUAAAUGCGGAAGAGAUAAGUGCUGAAAGCAUCUAAGCACGAAACUUGCCCCGAGAUGAGUUCUCCCUGAGACUUAGAGUCUCCUGAAGGAACGUUGAAGACGACGACGUUGAUAGGCCGGGUGUGUAAGCGCAGCGAUGCGUUGAGCUAACCGGUACUAAUGAACCGUGAGGCUUAACCUU